CAUGAUCGCGAGCGCUCGCGCGCCCUUCGAUCUCUCUCCGAUACGCUGCGGAAUUUAAAGCGACGUACGGAGCUCGACCGCGCGCGAGAAUGUCUCGUUGCUCGACGGAUGAAAAUACCGUUCGCCGAUCGUCACGCUUGACCACCAAGUUCGCGUCGCAAUUAACAAAACAUAUGCGCGGCGAAAUGAGUUCACACGUGAAUUACUAUUAUUACAAAGUUCACAGAGACUGGUUUUUCACAAAGGGGUGACGUCGCGGUGACGUUGAGGAAGAAUGUACGACUAGAAUGGACCUCGCAGUUGAGAUCCUUAUGGACGAUCGUGGAAUCUCGAUCUCUGACUAGCUGAACACAGACUGUUGACCGUUAUGCUCGCGUAAUAUUCGAUGUGGUGCGCGGAAUGUAGUAUAGUGGUGGCUUCGCUCUUCGAUCGAAGCAUUGUUUCGAUCAAUCUCGCCCGUUAAUCUCUUUCCCAAAGCGACGACGGCUUCUCAUUGUGCGCAUUUCACGUUUCAGCGGGCGAGGCCUCCCCGAUCGACGGGGCCUUACGUAAUCGAAAAUGGGGAAAUCGCUGCGUGAAGGAACGAUAGCAAUUGCCUCCGCGUGCGUUUGCGGAAUCCCAUGGUUUCUCCCUUUUGUUUAUUAUGACGCGUGUGAAUGAUAUCGGCCGUUGUCGGCCGCGAUUACUUUCCGGAUCGACCAAUUAAUCUUCGCGCGCUCCAUGAAUGUUACGUCAGUAACAAACCGACAUAAAGAACGUCGAAUUUCUUCGUUAACUAUCGAGAAGCAGUCCGUGGACCCGCCGCGGCGUGCUCGUCGAUGGACCAGACUUCACUCCGAUCGACCCGGCGCUUGACCGAUCAUCAUCCUUUGCGCAACGGUAUCGUGGAGAAUCGUUGCGUAAGCGCGUGCCACGGCCUUGCACUCGCGAACAAAGUCCUUGGCGCCGAACGCAAACGGCAGCUUGCGAUCAGGAAGAGGAUUCCCUGUCAAUUUCCUCACCGCACUUUUAUUCCGAGAAUUCUUCUAAUCCUUGCAAUUUUUUUUUUUCUUUUUUAGAAUCAAUGGAAUUUAGCGUCGCUGUUUCUCUGACGUUUCUCGCCCAGUCGCUCUCACGUUUCCGUGGCAUGAGAAUCUCGCAUCAACGAUCUCGACCAUUUCGUUACGACGAGUCUGAAAUACCUCUUCGUCGAUCGUCAACAUCGCUUCACGGAAAUUCGUUUGCUGCUCGUGUGAAGUAGCCUCCUUUCAACCCCCGAUUGUAAGAACCACCCCGUGGCGAGGUGACGCCUGGUGGCGGAAUAAGGAACGAUGGAAUGAACGAGUGGAGAAAAGGAUAAAUGAAGUCAUGUACAAUAAUAUGCACUGAAUGUACAGAUCGCCUUUCCAGAUAUUGACACAAGUCGACGGGGGUGAGCACAGAGCGGAGCAGCUAGGACCGUACUUUUAAGCACGAGAGUGGGGGUUCUGGAUCAAUGCCGAGGCCACGCCUCCUUCGUCUUACAUCUUGCACCCCGUGCUUCCCCCCAAGCACCGUGAGUACCUUCCUUUCCUUUUGCUUUUCCGUCCUCUUCCCUAUCUUCAUACCCCGCGGAAAAUCCGCCCCAGGCGUACAGAUAUAUUUGGGGAUUAAAAACUAUACGAUGUGUAUAAACUUUGUGUUCAUAAUACGCAUUGAUAUAGCAUGAUAGAAAAGAACAUGUAUAUUAGUGGCUCCUAAUUCAUAUUUAAA